rfam:Salimicrobium jeotgali strain MJ3 Contig43, whole genome shotgun sequence.
GCCGGCCUAGCUCAAUUGGUAGAGCAACUGAUUUGUAAUCAGUAGGUUGGGGGUUCAAGUCCUCUGGCCGGCA